GGGGAUUCUUCGGGUUAGUAUUCCUUAUGUGAUUGUAGGUAGUAUGAUUGAUUAGGAUUGUUGUCUAGUUCAAUUGUACGUGUCGGGUUUGGGAAUUUUGUUAGGUUUUGAUAAUCUUGUAUGAAUUAACAUGAUUCUGUUGAUACUUGUGAUAUAUGAUGUUAAUACAUGUCAAUAACUUGUUUGAAAUGUGUAAUUGUGUGAAAAUCAAUGAUAAUUGUGUGUAUGUUCGUAUGUACCUGAAAUUGGGGAAAUGGGAUAUGGUAAAUGCUGUCAAAAUGGUGAUUUUUGCUGUGCAGGUACGUAGGAACCGGUUCCCAUGUGGGACGAACCGGUUCCCCCUUGUAAAAACAGAGAAAUAUGGAUUCUGGGCAGUUGGGAACCGGUUCCCAUGUAGGGACAACCCGGUUCCCCAUAGUAAAAAUCAGAGACGUGACUUUGAAGCUGCCAGGAACCGGUUCCCACGUAGGGACAACCCCGUUCCUGCAGCACUUUUUCUAAAAAUGUUUUAUCUUUGAAAACUCAUAACUUUUGAUCCGAGUAUCCGAUUUAUGUGCCGUUUUGGGCGUUGCGAAGCUAAUGAGAUGCUUUAUCUGAUGAAUUGAUAAAAUGGGCAAUAGCCAACUUUACUUUUUAAACUCGAUUUAAUUAUUAAUGAAUUGAAAGAUAGUAUAUGUAUAUGUGCUUAUAUAUAUGACCAUUGAUGCGUGUUCUGUAUUGGUGAUGAGAUUGUGAUAUUCAUUGGGUGAUGUUGGUUUAUAACAUGUCGUAAAUGAAUACAUAUUUUGUGAUUAUGUUGUUGGGUUGUGUUGAUAAUUGGUUACAUUGUGUGCAAUGAUGUUAGAUGUAACGAUGCAUGAACGUGGUGAUGAUUGAUGAUUUAUGAAUGUUAAUAUACUUUUAAUAUUAACAUGUGAACUGUGGUGAAUGUAUGUGUGAUAUGUUUGUAUGAAUGCUAAGAAUAUAUACAUGCUUAUUGGUGAUGAUUUGGUGAUGAUAAUGAGACGAUGUGUUACAUCGGAUUGGUGAUGUUGUAAGCAUGUUAUAUGUUGCAUUCAUUGGCAUACAUUUUUGGUGAUGGAUCCCGGUGAUGAAAGUGGAUCAAAAUGGUGAGCAUGAUUCCCAGUGUGUGGAAUCGGUGCUGGAUAUUUUGGUGAGCAUGAUUCCCAGUGUGUGGAAUCGGUGCUGGAUAUUUGGUGAGCAUGAUUCCCUGUGUGUGGAAUCGGUGCUGGUUAAACUGUAUCUCAGUGAUGAGGAUAUCAGUUGGAUGGGUAUAUCCCAUGUAUGGUACCACAUGCAUAGUGUCAGUUUAAUCAUAUGCAUUGGUUAUAACAUGAUUGGAUGGAAUUCAGUGUUAUGCCUUGGUGUGUUUAUAUGAUUGAUGUAUUAAGAAUAUGUUGUUAAUAUAACUUGAUCAUUGGUAUAAUUGAUGAGUUGUGGGCCGAUGGCCAAUAUUGUUGGAUUGAUGUUUACUUGUUGUAAUAAUUCUGAUUAUAUGUAUGAUUGAGUGGAUGAUAAUUACUAUGAGAUUUUAUUGCUUAUGAUUGCAUAAUGCUUAUUAAUUCGAAUGAAACUCACCCUUACUUUGAUGAUUUCAGAUUAAGGAUGUAGCGGCGUCUUGAUUGGGUGAAGAUAGCUUAUAGGCUAGCCCUUAGUCCGUGUCGAGUCAUGCUCUGAAUGUAACACUGGGGAACGCUAGUUUAGAGACGAGUUAUUAUGUCGGUCUUUGUUGUUUAUAAUUGUAUUAGAGAACUUGCAUGAAUGAUGAUGAUUAUGCAAUGUUAUGAAUUAUAAUCCGCUGUGUUGAACAUGAAUUGUAUUUAUGUUAAAUGGUUCCUCGUGUGGCAUGACAAAUGACUAUAGUAUUUUAUGUUAAAGAAGUUGUGACAUCCUUGUAUUUCAUGUUUACUCUGGAUUUUUAUUAUAUUUUCCGUGGGGGUUUUAGAAGGGUGUUACAAUAGUGGUAUCAGAGCAUUGUCGGUCCUUGCGACCAGAGUCUUGUUGUUAAUUUCCUUUCGGUAUGCGACAUGUGUGUGAAACACUGUCGGUACUCAGUGUGUUCUAAAUGUUUGCUUGCAGAAGUGGGAUUGAAACUAGUGGGGGAGAAGUCAUGCUUCUCGGAUAUGUCUCAGAUGCAAGAUGUUAGAGAGAUGCGUGGGGCAGUAGUACAAGAGUGUGGAGUUAUUGUUUUCUGAAGCGAAGGUGACAUGGACUGAAGACCGUGGUUGUUGUUCAGUCGGAGUGUCUCGGAGUAGAUGAUGGUUAUUUCUGAGAAAUGGAACUUGGAAGUUGUGAUGCCUCAAGUGCUACUGACGUACUGCGAUGUUGUUGUAUGAGUAGCCCUAUGUAAAAGGUUGUUGUUGAAGCAGUGAUUAAAGGAAGUAUUGUCGUAGACCUUGUCGUAGGAUUACUAGUAAGUAAUUGAGAUGAUGGGAGAGGUUAUCGAUGUUGUUGAGAAAGUUUCGAAGUGCGAGUAAUGCAAAGAGACGAAUAUGAUCUCAAGGAUAAGAAGGUUGAUGAUGGCGUACACGAAUUUGGUUUCAGGAUGUUGCAGAAAUCGAACUUCAGCGAUGAAAUGUGUUGUUUAAGUUAUAAGAAGUUUGGAAGCGAAGAGAUGUGAUAAGAUGAUGUUAAUAAUGAGAUUAAUUUGAAGAGGAUGAGUUCUGGAGCAGAAUUUUCGUAAGCAAAUCGCAGGAAGAUUGCUGAAUCGUUAUGAAACUUCGAAAAUUCAUAACUGGAGUUCUGGACAUCCGAUUUGAGUUCCGUUUGAAGCGUCGGAAAGCUAACGAGAUGAACCUUGUUAUAAAAAUGGUUGCAGCAGCUGUAACAUAUUUAAUUGUGUUAGGAUGAUGUUAGAAAGAGGUGAAGUUACGGUUACACUUGUCCUUAGAACUAGAUUGUUCGUUGGUGCGGCAUGGGAUGUCAGUGUCAGAGUUAAACAGAAUAAAGGAAUAAUGAGGAGGCUUGUUGAGAAGCAAUCUUAGAGAUUAAAUGUGCCAAUUGAGAAGUUUUGGAGAUGUCGUAUAGAGUUUCGUUGCAUGGUAUCGGUAUUGUAUCUUGGGUAACGGUUGGAAACAUUCAUGUCUUGAGCUCUGAGUGUCAGAUUAAUGUACCGUUUGAAUCCACGAAGAGGAGAGAUUAUGUUAUACCUUAUGGGAGAGUUAUAAAUACAGUAGAAUGGUCCUAUGAUGAGAUAUUAUGAUGUCGGUUAAAGAAGCACGAAAAAAGUUUUGAAUAGGAAUGCUUAUUACCGCGAUUAUUCGGAACGAAGUCGAGUAGAAUAUGUCCUUGAUAAAUAAGAUGAUAAGGAUGAUUUAAAUAUUGAUGGAUUUGAGUGAUGAAGGAAUCAAUAGAAAAAGUGAAAUAGAAUUUGGAACCAUUUGUGGUAUAUUGUGAUGCGUCGUUGAUGGGUUUGGAUGGUGUAUUGAUGUAAAAUCAGUAAGUAGUAACUUAUGCGUCGGGACGAUUGAAAGCGCAGGAAGGGAAUUAUCCGACCCAUGACUUAGAGUUGACGAAUGUGGUUUUGUUUGUGGCAACAUUAUUUGUAUGGUUGAGAUUGGAAGUGUUUAGUGAUCAUAAGAGUCUGGAGUACCCGUUUGAUCAGCAAGGGCUUAAUGUGAAGCAAUAGACAUGGUUAGAUUUUUCUUGGAUUAUCAUCUUGGUGAGGAAGAUGUUGUGUCAAUGCACUGAGUAGGGAACCUCUAAAAAGAUCGAUGCUGAUGGAGAAAGAGUUGGAUUGAAUUGAACAAUUCAGAGAGUUAAGUUUGGUAUGUGAAAGUGCUCCUAAUAAUGUUAGAUUGGGUAUACUGAAACUGACUAAUGGUAUUCCUGACGAGAAUAGAGAAAGUCAGAAAGCUGAUGUUGAGUUGAUCGAUAAGUCGACUUUGGAUUACCAAGGUAAAGAUGACGGACUCAGAAUUGACGAGGAUAGUAUAAUGAGGUUGGUGGUCGCUGUUGUGUUCCGCGUGUUACCGGGUUGAGAAAGAAUAUUCUAGAAGAAGGACACCAUAGAGAAUUAUUAGACUAUGACAAUGUUAAUGAGUUUGGGUGCAAACUCGGAAAAGACGCUAUUAUGUAGUAACAACGGUUUAUGCUUAAAUAUGACUGUCGGCUAUCUAUUGACAAAUUGAGGACUUGAUCACCCUUAAUCUCUUGUUGAUAAUAGGCGGAAUUAUAUAGAUGGUAUAAGAUUGCUUGUUACCUUAAUAGUAUAAGAUGUGAUGAAUGCUGAGAUGUGAGAACAACCACUCACCAUAUUGUGGGAACUUAUGAGGGAUUGAAUAUGAAGGAGUGCAAAGUAUUGGACGGUGACUUAAGACGAGUAGUCGUAGUCGUACAGCGAAAGUAUGAUGUAGAGGGGUGUUAUGAGUGCUACUCGUGAGCAGUGAGGAAUGAAUAUGUCGGAAAUCCUACAUGGAGAAUAUAUGUUGAUCUAUAGGUUGGAUUUGGAAUCUCGUAGACAUAAGGAUGUCGUGCCAAAGGAUUAGGACCUUUUGAAUAAUUGCCGAGACGAUGGAUAUGUUGUUAUGGUUGUACGUAGCUAACGAGUAUGUAUUCGGAGGAGUUAAGAAGAAGAAUUGAUAUUACAUGACGCUAUAAUAAUCUUGUAAUGUUGUAAGGUAUUGUGUGGAUUUCUAAUUGUAAUGAAGGAUUAUACUCUACGAAGGACGAAGUUGAUUUCAUUCUUAGUGGAAAGUGGGACUCUGUUGAGCUAUCUUGUAAGCAAUGGUAUAUUGAGGAUGAUGAGCUAUGUAAUUAUAACUACUGAUGUGCACUCACUUCCAUAGUUGGAAUGUUUAAUAGAUGAAGUAAAUCAGGAAUUGUUUUUGAGUGCGAGUAAGUAUUGAUGAGUGGUGGAUUAGUACCAUGGAUGGUAAAGAAUGAUUCUUAAACGAGUGAGUAAAGAGGGCCAGAGUUGGGUAUAACUCAGAAGUCUAAUUGGUAAUGAUGGUUGCAAUGAGUAACCAGGAUAGUGCAGCAAAAGCAGGAUGUAACGUGUUGGGUAAUUGAUGGUGUGACCUAAGAGGAGCCAGACAAUUAGAAUUCAAUGGUAUAAGAAUAUGAGUAUUGAGUUCUUGAAGGAAGCAGUUGGUAAAAAGUGUAAGUAUUACCUCAUCACUCAAUUGGAAGAGUGUGCCUAAGGUUAGUACAUGGGUAAAUGGAAUCCACUACUACGGUGUUGAUCAGUUGUGAUCAUACCAUGGAUUGUGUAAUUGUAUUAUUCAGUUAUUGAGUGUAUUGUAUGGAUCACACCUCGAAGUUUCAUUGUUGUUAACCGUUGGAAUUAUAGCGAGUGGUAUAUCUAGGGAUGGUCAAAAGCAACGUAAGAGCUGAGAUUGAAUGCAUGAGGUAUGCUUAUGUUGGUUAUGUCAGAUGAACUUGGAGGUUCGACUAAGAAAGUGUUAACUGAGAACAGGAGGGUCAGAUGGAGGACUCCUAUUUGGAACUUUUCACUAGAAGUAUGUUUUCGAGGACGAAAACUAUUUUAGUGGGGGAGAGUUGUAACGCCCCAUAUUUUCUAAUUUUAAUUUAAUUGGAAAUUAAAUUAUUAAUUGGAAUUAUUUUGGUAUUUGGUUGAAUUAUAUGGAAAAUGAUGAGUUAUUGGCAUUGGGCCUAGAGUGGUGAUUAGCAGAAGAGGGGGUGUUGACUAAGCAAGCCCAUUAUAAUAUUUUAUUUUAUUUUUCAUAAAAUAAAGGAAUUGGGAAAGGAGAAGCAGAAGCAGUAGAAGCAGAUUUUGGAAAAAGGAGAACACGUGAAAGUGAGAAGGGCCAAAGGGGAAGAAGACCUUCGAAGAUUCGACUCUGAGAUUAAGGAUGUAGCGGCGUCUUGAUUGGGUGAAGAUAGCUUAUAGGCUAGCCCUUAGUCCGUGUCGAGUCAUGCUCUGAAUGUAACACUGGGGAACGCUAGUUUAGAGACGAGUUAUUAUGUCGGUCUUUGUUGUUUAUAAUUGUAUUAGAGAACUUGCAUGAAUGAUGAUGAUUAUGCAAUGUUAUGAAUUAUAAUCCGCUGUGUUGAACAUGAAUUGUAUUUAUGUUAAAUGGUUCCUCGUGUGGCAUGACAAAUGACUAUAGUAUUUUAUGUUAAAGAAGUUGUGA